UACGAAGGGGGCUAGCGUUGUUCGGAAUCACUGGGCGUAAAGCGCACGUAGGCGGAUCUUUAAGUCAGGGGUGAAAUCCCGAGGCUCAACCUCGGAACUGCCUUUGAUACUGGGGAUCUCGAGUCCGGGAGAGGUGAGUGGAACUGCGAGUGUAGAGGUGAAAUUCGUAGAUAUUCGCAAGAACACCAGUGGCGAAGGCGGCUCACUGGCCCGGAACCGACGCUGAGGCGCGAAAGCGUG
rnacentral:rRNA from 1 species